rnacentral:rRNA from 1 species
UACGUAGGGUGCGAGCGUUAAUCGGAAUUACUGGGCGUAAAGUGUGCGCAGGUGGCCGCGCAAGUCGAGUGUGAAAUCCUCGGGCUUAACUUGGGAAUUGCGCUCGAAACUACGUGGCUCGAGUAUGGCAGAGGAAGGUGGAAUUCCACGUGUAGCGGUGAAAUGCGUAGAGAUGUGGAGGAACACCGAUGGCGAAGGCAGCCUUCUGGGCCAAUACUGACGCUCAUGCACGAAAGCGUGGGGAGCAAACAGG